rnacentral:rRNA from 1 species
UACAGAGGUCUCAAGCGUUGUUCGGAUUCAUUGGGCGUAAAGGGUGCGUAGGUGGCGCGCUAAGUCAGGUGUGAAAUUUCGGAGCUUAACUCCGAAACUGCAUUUGAUACUGGCGUGCUUGAGGACUGGAGAGGAGACUGGAAUUCAUGGUGUAGCAGUGAAAUGCGUAGAGAUCAUGAGGAAGACCAGUGGCGAAGGCGGGCCUCUGGACAGUUCCUGACACUGAGGCACGAAGGCCAGGGGAGCAAACGGG